rnacentral:rRNA from 1 species
UAUGGUAAUUGCCAGCAGCCGCGGUAAUACGUAGGGGGCAAGCGUUAUCCGGAUUUACUGGGUGUAAAGGGAGCGUAGACGGCAAGGCAAGUCUGAUGUGAAAACCCAGGGCUUAACCCUGGGACUGCAUUGGAAACUGUCUGGCUCGAGUGCCGGAGAGGUAAGCGGAAUUCCUAGUGUAGCGGUGAAAUGCGUAGAUAUUAGGAAGAACACCAGUGGCGAAGGCGGCUUACUGGACGGUAACUGACGUUGAGGCUCGAAAGCGUGGGGAGCAAACAGG